rnacentral:rRNA from 1 species
CCUACGGGAGACAGCAGUGAGGAAUAUUGGUCAAUGGUCGGGAGACUGAACCAGCCAAGCCGCGUGAGGGAGGCAGGUACAGAGUAUCGUACACCUCUUUUGUCAGGGAACAAAGGCGGGGACGUGUCCCCGGAUGAGUGUACCUGAAGAAAACGCAUCGGCUAACUCCGUGCCAGCAGACGCGGUACUACGGGGGAUGCGAGAGUUCUCCGGGUUUAUUGGGUUUAAAGGGUGCGCAGGCGGUCUGUUAAGUCAGCGGUCAACGACCGGGGAUCACCCCCGGCCCGCCGUUGAAACUGGCAGACUCGAGUGGGAGAGAAGUAUGCGGAAUGCGCGGUGUAGCGGUGAAAUGCAUAGAGAUCGCGCAGAACGCCGAUGGCGAAGGCAGCAUGCUGGCUCCACACUGACGCUGAGGCACGAAAGCGUGGGUAUCGAACAGGAUUAGAGACCCGAGUAGUC